AGAGGAUCCACUGGUGAGCAAGUGUUGUGAUGAUUAUUUUCUCCAAAUCUGCCCCAAUGAAGAAACAAACUCAUCUGAAUCUUGAAUGGCCUUUGGAGGUGAAAUUGAGUCCUGGAGUCUGUCAGGUCUCGUCCGACUCUCUCAAGGUGAGAGGACAUGCCUCCCCUGGCCCGGUGCCGGUGGGUUCUCCCAACUCGCAGAACCGUUUAGGGAGAUGGGACGGACAGUGAGAGUGACAAGGAGGGGAAUGUGUUCAGAACACAAUGGCCUGGAGUGAGUGAGUUAGAGCUCCUGGCAGGGAGAAGACCAACACAGAGCUCUGGAUGUUGGGUCUAAAUCCCCUUUACCUCAGGGAGGGACUAACAGCUCUAUUCCAGCCAAGGUUACUAAAGACCCAUCCAACCAUUGCACUGUUUAACCCAAAGAGAAAGUAACGACCUGGCGUACCCUGCAACAGUCAAGGGUAACUUGUCCUUAACUUGCUAUUUUAAUUAUAUAUUUAAA